rnacentral:rRNA from 1 species
GUCGCUCUUACCGAUGGACUUCUUUGUGAGUUUGAGGGACUGAUAUACAAUAAGUUUACUUAUUUUAUCGGAAACUCAAACGAACAAUGUGGUCUAAAGGAAAGAG